UCAUUUUUUGGGUGAUAAGAGUAAAUAAACAUGCCAUGUGGCAAACAUAAAAUAAAAAAACAUUAUUCAAAUAUUAUUACACUGUUUGGAAACUUUCUAUUUCCUGAGUUUAGAAAAAUGAGUAAAAAACGAACUUGUAAAGUGCAGCCAGACACAACAAUAACAAUGCAUUAAUUCUGAAGGAAAUUCUUGUGCAAUAUUAUAUACAAAAGAAAUUACAGGACAUAAGAAUAAACAAUAUGUCCAGAAUGUGAGUCAAUGAUCCAGCAGAGAGCAAAUGAAAGCACAGAGCUUAAAUAGGUGGAGGUGAGGUGGAGAACAGGUGAAUGGAGUGAACUAAUUACUGCAGCUGAUGUGCAUUACAGCAAUCAGUAAAGUGCAGGCAGGUGAGUGAAACAGAGUGAGCCAGAGGGACAAGACAAGGACAGAGAGACAACAGGGAGAGAGAUGACAAACAGAAAUACAAAAGAGACAGAUGACAAAGACAGGAAGAAGAAGGGAGAAGGAAGAAAAGAGGAAGGAGAAAGAAGGCAGGAGCUGGAACAGGGAUCAUAACAUUUGGGACUCCAUACGUUUCUGAGAGAGGCGAUGGGAACGUACGUGCAAAGAAAUCAACGAUAGAAAUAAAUAAAUUGACAGAAUAGAAUAACUACAUAGCAACACUCCAGGCGCGUGCGUGCGUCUUUUAAAGCCAUGGCAACGGACGGUGACGCGCAGUAGAGCGAGUAUUGAAGGUUAGCAGAACUUUAUUCGGUCUCGUUUUGGACUUGGACUUUGAGGACUUUUUCAAAACGACCUGAACGCUGGAAAGCCAAACUCUUUGGAGAUUUGAACGCUGGGAAGCAUCUAAAAAAAAAAACAAAAAAAAAACAACAACUUUGCUGAAGAAAAAACUGGAAGAGAAGAAGAAGACGCUAGUUGGAGAAGCACCUGCUGCUCAGACCUGGCGACCGUUAGCAGAGUCGUCAGUGCCACAUCUGGACACUGGUCCUGGUUCACAACCUGAGGCGGCCGGACACUUCGAGGGAAAUGCUGCUGAGGUUCCCAGUUUGCAGCUUACUGGGAGACAGCUCGCAGGCUUUCCAAGCUCAGAGAUCUCUACCUCGCAGACUGCAAGCUCACUGAUGACAGGUUCACUGAUUGCAUGCUUGUAGCUUAAUGGCUGUCAUAGUGCUGGCUUACAGAGCGCUGGACUGUAGGGCCUCCUACUCCUCCGGCUCUUCCUCCUUUUUGAAAGACUGUAGCUGAAUUGACUUUAUGAUUUGCUUGAUUGGAUCAUAUCAGGUUUUAUUUAAAUGGAUCUGUCAUUUUGAUCUGAUCUGACUUGAUUUGACUUGUUUUGUUGACUAUAUUUGAAUUGACCUAAUUUGAUUUGAUCCAUUUUUACUUGAUCCAUUUAACUUAACUUCGUAAUUUUAUCUGAUUCAAAUUGUUUUCACUUUGUUGUAAGUUAUUUAAUCCAGUUGGACUUAAUUUCAAUUAAUUUGAUAGUAUGGAUCUAAUCAAAUGUGACGUGACUUGUUUGACGUGAACGCUGUCCUCGUCGGUGUGGCUCUGGUCAGGGAGCCUGUCAGAGGUUUGGGUGGAUCUGGAGGGAUAGCAUGAUAGUUACUCCCUCACAGUGAAGCUCAUCUCUGUCAGAAGUUAAAAAGAAUGCAGACAGCAUGUGGUGGUAGUUCAUGUCUCUAUGCGACCACCAGACAGUGGAGUCAACAGUGACACAGACCAGAGUUCAGGGAGUUAAAACUGAGAGGAAAAUGUAGAUAAUAAAUGAGACAAAGAUUCUGACAAAAAGGUGAGUUUCAUAGAUGCUGAUUCUAUAUUUCUCAUGCUGCUGGUCUGCUGAUUGAUGUUUUAAGAUGCUGUGAGCUGCCAAAUUUGCCCCCUAAGAAAUAAUAUUGUGCCCUUAAGAAAAAUCUAGACUAGUUUCUGCCGCGUUGUUGUUUUUCUUUCAGCGCUGAUGUUGGAUGAAUUCAGGACCCAAAAGGAGCAAAAGAGAUGAGACACAGCAAGGAUGCAUUGCCAUCCCCUAAACCCCAAGCAAUUUGAAUAAGAAACAUAGACUAGAAAAAAAAAAUCUAAAAAAAGAGUUGAGUGACAGCCCAGGAUGAGAGAAGAAAUGAUGGAAACAGAUCCAAGACCAGCACAUGACAUGUCUGACAGCUCAACUAAUGCAAGAGCUCUAUCCAAAAAGAAGGAUCAGAUCAGGACAAGGAACCACAUGAGAGGCAGCAGCAGGAUGUGAAUCCACAUUAUGAGAAAUGAAGAAAAACGUAUUAUAGUGGUGUGAAAGCAUUAGAAGGAUUGGAGGUCACCACUGUGAGGUGACGGCACUAACCAGAGCAUCUAAGAUUUUCUUUUUACUUAUAAAAUCUAAGAAAACAAAGAAACAGUGAGAGGAACUCCAGUAUGACCUAAGAUUGAAGAAUCACCCCCGAGAUGAGACGACGAACCGCUCUGAGAUGAGAUGAUGAACAGCCCCAAACAGAACAAGAAUAGGUAGGAAUCCAAACUAAAAUGUUUCUUCUGCUGCUGAUGAAGUUGUUCAGAAGACAUUCUGUCAUGUCACAGUAGUGACAGCUUCGAAAGAUUCAUAUCACAGCACAGGUGUCAUUUCAGGCAAAAUCUGUGAAAUCAAUCAAACUUUAUUUAUAUAGCACUUUUCAUACAGUGAAAAUGCAACACAAAGUGCUUUGCAACAUUUAAAAACAUUAAAAACAAGGAAACCCAUCCCUCCCUCCAUAUAUACAUAUAUGCACACAACUACAGACACACACACACACACUCUCACGCACAUACACACACACUCUCACCUCACUCUCACUUUAUGUUUAAGCUGUUCUUUUUUUAAAGCAAAUAACCGUAAGCAGGCUUACAAUAAAACUGUUUACAAUAACAACAACUUUAAACUAUUGAAUUUACAGUUGCCAGAAAGCAUUUGUUAAACAUUGUCAUUAUUUUUAGGUGAAGUUCUGGCAGCCGGAGCUGUUGGUAUUUUACAAUAAAGACCUCAUUUGUGGAGGCUGUAAAAUGUAAAUCUUUAACUUUAUUUGUAAUUAUAGAGCCUUUAUUUUUUGAAGUGUAGGUAACACCUGUGUGACAAUUAUUGUAAUUAUAAAUAUGUGAAGUACACAAAAGACAUUAUUGAGUUUUCUUUAUUUUCUGGUUAUGGCUGUACUGUUUCCAUACAGGUGCAUUACUGUAUGUUGCAGUGUUCUUGUUAUCAUUAUUUGUGCAUUAAUGCUACAUAUUGUAAUAUAAAUGCUCUACUGUAUAACACAUAAGCACAUAGGAGGACUGAUCCAAACCAUCAAGGCUCUAUGAUGGAUUCUUGUACUUUGUUUUACAAAACCUCCAAUUUGUGCAAUUAACACCGGAAUUCAGAGAGAUUGUGCAUUCAAUCCUUAAAUCUACAAUUAGAAAUGAGUGACUGCAUCUGAGAAAUGUUAUCUAGAAGCACCCAACACUGUUCUGUCAUGUGUUUAGCUGCAUCUUCAGUCUCUGCACAUCUGUCUGCUGAUCAUGUUUAGUUAAUACAGUGCAGCAGCGCCCUCUGGAGAUCAGCAGCUGUAGUACAGAAACAUCUGGCCUCAGUAAGCAUGCCAGGCUGGAAGAAACUUAAGUCAAGGCCUGGUUUGGAAAUGGGACAAAUUGUAAAUAUAAAGGAAGUUUUCAAUAAGAAUUUGAUGAGAAUGAUGUAGACUUUGAGCAAUUCUGAUUUACAGCAUCAGAUUAUGUAAUGCUAGUUUUUCAAAAUGAAGUUACAAACCAUCAACUUUUAAGAUCUGCUCUCAUUAAUCCUAUAUGACCGUGUUGCUGUGUUUUUCCUUUUUUUAUUUUAGGUUUUUUUUAAAUUAUUAUUUCCAAAAUAUUUGUAACUAAACACAGUAGAAAAAUGUGGAUUCCGAUUUAAGGUAUCUUUAUAGCUAAUAUUUCCCAAAGAAUCUUACAAUUUAUAUUUAUUAAACACACUACACACAGUCGGGCAUCAAUAUUAAUUGUGCAUGUGCAUUCAAGAACCUAUAAAUAAAUUUUAAACAAAUAAGUGAGUUUCCUUCAAGACUUUUUUUUUUUUUUUUUUUUUUUUUAAAGAUUUUAGCUUGAAAGUAAGUUGAUUGUUGUAUUUUGUGUCUCAGUGACAGGAGACCGAGAGGUUCAGAGUUCAUAAAGAGACGGUAGAAGUUUGGUUUGUAGUUGUUUCCCUCUUUUUACAGCCUCGACUCUUGCAUCCAGCUCUGUCUUUCACAACAAACAGGAAGCUGUUGCUCACUUCUUGAUGUUAACACGUCUUUGUCUCGCGUUUACUUCUCUUACCUGCCUCAAAACAGCUUCUUAUGUCGGCGUAACAAUGGCAGCACUGUCGCUGUGCUGUUCUCAUUUCAAAGUGGAAGCCCACCUUGUCUGAGCCAGGAGGCGUAACGCUCUUCUGUCAAUCACUGAUAUCCAGUUACUGUUAGUUAUAGACGUGGAGCUGAGCUGAGGUCAGUGGGAGGAGGGAGAGGUGUGUUGUUUCUUGUGUCGGUUGGAAUUACCCGGGAUCUCAUCUGUUUCUGCCCAAAUUUACCCGACAAAGUCUUUCAUUCAACACAGAGAACACAAACCCACCCUUAGCAUGCUUGAUUGCACUUACAGGAUACUUUUAAUAUUGAUGUCAACUGGUAAAACCUUAGCAUAUUAGUUUAAAAGGCACAAACAUAGUAGAAAGAAUUAAAAUUCAUAAUUAAAACAAUAUAGAACACUGGCGAAUAGAAUGAAUUUAAUCAACCCAUUGAAACAUCUCUGAUUUCCACAACAUUAUCACACUGUAAACACUAGUUUACCAUGUGAUUAUUUUAGUAUAUUUUAUGCUCGGUGUAGUUUUAGAGACUCACACUUGUCAGACCUUUGGACUGCAUAGUUCCAGUUUUGGUUAACAGGCUUGGCUGUUUUUAAUUGCAGCCCAUCUUUCACAAUGUGCAUUUAAUUGGGCUUCCUGGGGGUUAUUCCUUCUGGAAUCUCUGGC